rnacentral:tRNA from 1 species
UCUAGGAUGCCUGAGAAUUAUGAAAGGAACGUUUUGAUGUGACGUAUAGGGUGUCUACCUCCUAGGA